UGACAUGGGGUGUAGCCCCAGCGCCAUUCCAGACAGGGGUUUAGCACUGGGGUCCUGUCCAUGCUGUGUGGGAAGCUUGGCUGUGGGUGAUGCUGGGGUGUGUGCUCCAUAGGCCAAGUCUCUUGUGGGGUUUCUUCACAGCACAAGUGCUCUUGAUGCAAGGAACAGCAGAAAUAGGUUUGAGAUUCACCCUCUACAGUAUAUACUUAGCUCUGCGGUUUCUUCAGAGGGAGGCUGUUGUCGCAUGUGUAGGAGAUGUACAAACAGAUUGAUGCAGUUACCCAAUUAAGACUUCUGGCAGUCUUUGACAGCAUAAAGAGAUGUCAAGUGUGGCUGAUACAUCCAUCAGGCUGUAUACUGACCUUUAGGAGUUGUAUUUACCUACAAGUUCCCAGAAGAGAUCUGCUUUCCUUUGACAUGUUUUCCAGCUACUGCUGUGUGGAUGACUGCCUUGCAAAACUGAGAGAGCUCGGCCAUAGAGGCAGCAAAUCAGAGUGGAACGAAACCUGAGCAAAUCCAAAUCAUGCUCCAUGGCCAGAGAUCACCUUAUAUGGGAACAUCAAGGGCAAGAAGAGGAGUAUGUCCAGAUGAGUUGCUGAGGUCAGAUCCCAGACAGAGGAAAGAUGUUAAUGUGAAAACAAGAGCAUUUAGGAAGAGAAGACAGCACUUAUUCCUGCUUUUCUUCUACAAUCUGAGCCAUCUUGUUUGUCUCUCUUAUUAUAAAUAGUACUAUGUGUAUGUAUACAUAACAGUAAGUCUGACUGUUAUAUUAAAAAUCGAUUUCUCUGUGGCUCUUCUAGCAGCAAAAUGUAUCCCAGGUCUGUUCCUAGUUCUCACUUGCAGCUUUUUCAAUUCUUAUUCCGUAGCAGGAUUCUGCUUGCUGAAGUGGCACUGAUACC